AGUGAACGCUGGCGGUAGGCCUAACACAUGCAAGUCGAACGGCAGCACAGUAAGAGCUUGCUCUUACGGGUGGCGAGUGGCGGACGGGUGAGGAAUACAUCGGAAUCUACUUUUUCGUGGGGGCUAACGUAGGGAAACUUACGCUAAUACCGCAUACGACCUACGGGUGAAAGCAGGGGAUCUUCGGACCUUGCGCGAUUGAAUGAGCAGAUGUCGGAUUAGCUAGUUGGCGGGGUAAAGGCCCACCAAGGCGACGAUCCGUAGCUGGUCUGAGAGGAUGAUCAGCCACACUGGACCUGGGACACGGUCCAGACUCCUACGGGAGGCAGCAGUGGGGAAUAUUGGACAAUGGGCGCAAGCCUGAUCCAGCCAUACCGCGUGGGUGAAGAAGGCCUUCGGGUUGUAAAGCCCUUUUGUUGGGAAAGAAGAGCAGCAGGUUAAUACCCCGCUGUUCUGACGGUACCCAAAGAAUAAGCACCGGCUAACUUCGUG
rnacentral:rRNA from 1 species